GUCCACUCCACUCCAUUCUAUUACAUUCAAUUCCUUUUGAGUCCGUUCCAUAACACUCCAUUCAUUUCGAUUCCAUUUCUUGCCAGUUUUCUUCCAUUUUAUUCCAUUCCGUUCGAUUCCAUUCCAUUCAAUUCCUUUUGAGUCCGUUCCAUAACACUCCAUUCAUUUCGAUUCCAUUUCUUGCCAGUUUUCUUCCAUUUUAUU
rnacentral:lncRNA from 1 species